rnacentral:misc_RNA from 1 species
CCAAUAGCGUAUAUUAAAGUUGUUGCAGUUAAAAAGCUCGUAGUUGAAUUUCGGGAUCAGUAGGUCGGUCGUGCCACUGGUAUGAACUGGUCUCACUGGUUCCUCCCUCUUGACGAACUGCAAUGCUAUUAAUUUAGUGUUGUAGGAAAUCAGGACUGUUACUUUGAAAAAAUUAGAGUGUUUAAAGCAGGCUUUGGCUUGAAUACAUUAGCAUGGAAUAAUGAAAUAGGACGUUCGAUCCUAUUUUGUUGGCUUCUAGGAUUGACGUAAUGAUUAAUAGGGACAGUUGGGGGCAUUAGUAUUCAAUUGUCAGAGGUGAAAUUCUUGGAUUUAUUGAAGACUAACUACUGCGAAAGCAUUUGCCAAGGAUGUUUUCAUUAAUCAAGAACGAAAGUUAGGGGAUCGAAGACGAUCAGAUACCGUCGUAGUCUUAACCAUAAACUAAGCCGACUAGGGAUCGGAUGAUGUUAAUUUUUUAAUGACUCAUUCGGCGCCUUACG